GAUUACACGCAUUCUGCGGUACCGAUGAGUAAUAAGAAGAAAAUUUGGAGGUCGAAGAUACCAAUAAAAGUUAAAAUCUUCAUGUGAAAUAUCUGUAGGGGAGUUGUGCUAAAAAAAUACAACCUCGCGCGGCGGAAUUGGCAAGGGAGUAAGAAGUGUUGCUUUUGUACUCAUGAUGAGACAAUCAGACACCUCUUUUUCCAAUGCAACUUUACACGUUCUACGUGGUCAGCCAUCCAAAUAGCGUCAAGUUUAUAUCCGCCCUCAAGUGUUGCCAAUAUUUUUGGUCACUGGUAG
rnacentral:rRNA from 1 species